rnacentral:tRNA from 1 species
GGAGAGAUGGCUCAGUAGGUAAGAGCACCUGCUUCUCAAACAUGAGGACCUGAGUUUGAAUCCCAGCACCC